UCACAUUCCGAGCCAGUCCUGAUCAAAUAUAGCGCCCGUCGGAUAUUCGAGACAUACGCACCGCGUCAAAUACAAGCGCGUGUCAGGUAGGCCGGCAUCCUUAAGAAGGGUGGAGGUCAUGUUCGUUUUUUCCCCCCCUAGAUUUCGAUCCUACGUUUUCGAAUUCGGAUCGCUUUCUAGUUUUUCUUGAUUGAUGGAUGCCCUAGAUUCCGUCGUCGAUCCCUUGAGAGAGUUCGCCAAGGACAGCGUCCGUCUCGUCAAAAGAUGCCACAAGCCCGAUCGCAAGGAAUUCACGAAGGUGGCGGUACGCACGGCGAUCGGAUUCGUGGUGAUGGGAUUCGUGGGGUUCUUCGUGAAGCUGAUCUUUAUCCCGAUCAACAACAUCAUCGUCGGAUCCGGUUAGGUAAUGCGCUCCGUACGCGAGCAAGACCCCUAAGAUUUAGUUAUACCGUAAACAAUUUCCAACUAUGGGUUCGAGUUGUUCCAAGAAGAGAUCAUGGAGAAACGACACAUCAAUAUAUAAGCUCCAGUUUCUUUCGACUCUAGGAAGAACAAUUUUUACACACUUAGGCCAAGCAGAUUGGUUUUUUGGGGGCACUUUCUUAAAGAAUUUACUUUUUUUUUUUUAAAUAUGAGCUUACCACAUACGACAAUUUUUUGGUGAACUCUGUUUAAUUGAAUUUAGUCUGCCUUCAAGCAGUGUUAAAAUGUUAACAAUUCCUCGGUAAAGAGGCAGGCAUCUCCCCGUCGCCGAUUAUUGAAAGCAGACAUCCCGACUGAUGACACACUUUGUCAGCAUCAACGACUGUUUUUGCGCUUUUUCUUCAAGAUCGGGUCUUGUCGAUCAUCCUUGAGGCAGUCCAGAAAGAAAAAAAGUGUUAAAGCUUGGUGGGUGCAUCUAACCUGAGAUAAUAAUGCACUUUAGCUUUAAUCUGAUGCGCCUGAAUUUUAAGAAAUUGUUGAAAAGAAGAUUAGGAUGACCCCGGCUUAAAAUAUCAGACUGAAGGAGGUACCCGUGACGGUGAUCGACCGUGUUCGCCCCCCGCUUCCAGCACAGAAAGGUCAUUAUAAUGGAAAAUAACGGCAAAAUAGUGAGGUUAGCCUCAAUUGAGAUAAAUAAAAUAUUAAUUUUUCAACUGAAGGAGAGAUUUGAUUUUUCAAUAUUGAAAUAUAUAAUGUUUUCAUCAAAUGUGAAAUAAAA